rnacentral:pre_miRNA from 1 species
UGCUUUCUGAAUCCGUGCCAAGAUUUCGCCAGACACCAUACCAUCAGUGUUGAUAAAACUCCCAAUAUAAGUGAAGUC